rnacentral:rRNA from 1 species
GACGUAGGAGGCGAGCGUUGUCCGGAUUCAUUGGGCGUAAAGAGCACGCAGGCGGUUUGGCAAGUCGGACGUGAAAAUCCGGGGCUCAACCCCGGACCUGCAUCCGAAACUGCCCGACUAGAGGUAGGUAGGGGAGAUCGGAAUUCCUGGUGUAGCGGUGAAAUGCGUAGAGAUCAGGAAGAACACCGGUGGCGAAAGCGCUCUGCUAGGCCGCAACUGACACUGAGGGACGAAAGCUAGGGGAGCGAAUGGG